GUCGCAUCUACCGAUUGUGCGAAACGAUGAAGUCUCGGGACUGCGUUUACUUCCUUCAUUGGAUGUCAUUUGCAGGAACUCGCCUGUUUCCCAUCGCAUAGAGGAAGAUG
rnacentral:rRNA from 1 species